rnacentral:lncRNA from 1 species
CCCUCUCUCCCUCCCGACUCAACCCCACCUCUCAGCCACUCUCCCGUCGCCGUCCAAAGAACCACCCAGCCAUCUCCCAAAACCCACCAACCCAGCCACCUCCCAAAAAAAUCCAGUGCCAAUUCAGAUGAUGAAGACAAAUUGGAGGGGAAAAUUUGUAGACACAUGUCCGCCACCUUCUCCUCCCUUCCUUCACCAUGAAUAUCCAAAAACCAAAAAUAAAAAACCCAGAAAAAAAGAGCUUCAUCCAUUGUUUAUAUGUGCUUCCUCAAAUAGUCUGGUAAGAUUCAGAAACCAUUGUUUAUCUGUUUAAAGAGCUUCAUAGGUUCACUGGCUAAGUCUCUUUUUUUCAUAAACACCUCUGUAUUUUUUAAAGUAAUGGACUCUACAAGCUGUUUCUCUUACAAGUUUAAAAGCUUCUUCAACCUCUAAAGCCAAUUUGAGCACGCGCGAAUCUCACUCUGCAACUCAAAAAAGCUUCUUCAACCUCUAAACCAAAGCCUCGACCUCCAAAGCCUAGUAACGAUGUCGACCGCCAAAGCGAGUAUCAAGAAGCGCAGGACCGAGCCCCAGCUCGCCAAAUCGGACCACCUCGAUCUCGAUUUCUACCUCUCCAAGUUUGUUUUCCUAUAAUUUCUUCUUCAUCUUUUGUUUUUUUUUCUUUUGCUCAUGGAUUUGUGGAUGAAUGUAUGAUACUGAGAGUAUGGUGGAAUUUUACAGUCAUAUAAAAGGAAUCAUGUCGGCACUGCACCAGAUUUGAGAGAAGGCUCACAAGGGCGGACUUAAGAAGAACAAAGAGACCAUUUCAAGGUGAGCCUCGGUCUGAUCUAGUUUGAUUAUGGCGGAAAUUCGAAUAUCGUUGAGCUGUUUCUUUGCGAUUCGGUGAUUAAUUUGAGCUUCAGCCGGUUAGGUCGUCGUCGACAUCUCCAAUCUCAUCAUCGAAACGUGGGGGUCUAGAUCUAUUGGCUCCAUGUUGUGUCGCAAAUCCCACAUAGAGACGGAGAGAGACGGAGACAUUCAAAUUGAGAGAGAGAGAGGAGGUGACUAGGGUUCUGGUAUUCCAUCGGGCUAGGAGGAGAGGGAUCUGGUAUUGAAAUUUUUUUUUUUCUUUUUGAAGUUUAAUAAUUUUAAAUUAUUAAAAUUAUUUUUAAAUAAUUGAGA